AUGGUGUAAUGAGGCACCUUUCUAUACUCUUGGUCCAUUAACAACUGAUAUCGCUCCGGGAUAUGAUCAUAUUACCUCUGCCAUUGGUGCUGCUAAUAUUGGAGCACUUGGUACUGCACUUCUUUGUUAUGUAACUCCGAAGGAACACCUUGGAUUGCCAAAUCGUGAUGAUGUAAAGGCAGGUGUCAUAUCAUACAAGAUAGCUGCCCAUGCAGCUGAUUUGGCAAAGGGUCACCAGCAUGCACAAGCAUGGGAUGAUGCAUUGAGCAAGGCAAGGUUUGAAUUUAGAUGGAUGGACCAGUUUGCGUUGUCUUUAGAUCCUAUGACAGCUAUGGCUUUUCAUGAUGAGACCCUCCCAUCUGAGGGUGCCAAGGUGGCACAUUU
rnacentral:lncRNA from 1 species